rnacentral:rRNA from 1 species
CCUGGCGGCACUAGCGCGGUGGUCCCACCUGACCCCAUGCCGAACUCAGAAGUGAAACGCCGUAGCGCCGAUGGUAGUGUGGGGUCUCCCCAUGUGAGUAGGGAACAUCAAAU